rnacentral:rRNA from 1 species
AGUGAACGCUGGCGGUAGGCCUAACACAUGCAAGUCGAACGGCAGCACAGUAAGAGCUUGCUCUUACGGGUGGCGAGUGGCGGACGGGUGAGGAAUACAUCGGAAUCUACUCUGUCGUGGGGGAUAACGUAGGGAAACUUACGCUAAUACCGCAUGCGACCUAAGGGUGAAAGCAGGGGACCGCAAGGCCUUGCGCGAUUGAAUGAGCCGAUGUCGGAUUAGCUAGUUGGCGGGGUAAAGGCCCACCAAGGCGACGAUCCGUAGCUGGUCUGAGAGGAUGAUCAGCCACACUGGAACUGAGACACGGUCCAGACUCCUACGGGAGGCAGCAGUGGGGAAUAUUGGACAAUGGGCGCAAGCCUGAUUCAGCCAUACCGCGUGAGUGAAGAAGGCCCUCGGGUUGUAAAGCUCUUUUGUUGGGAAAGAAAUCCUGUUGGUUAAUACCUGACAGGGAUGACGGUACCCAAAGAAUAAGCACCGGCUAACUUCGUGCCAGCCGCCGCGGUAACAC